rnacentral:rRNA from 1 species
AUCUCUGUAGAGUCUGCAUAUCAAUAAGCGGAGGAAAAGAAACUAACUAGGAUUCCCUCAGUAACGGCGAGUGAAGCGGGAAGAGCUCAAAUUUGAAAUCUUCAAGGUUUUACCUUGACGAAUUGUAGUUUAAAGAAGUGUUUUCUGUUGGAGUUUUGGUAAAAGUUCUUUGGAAUAGGACAUCAUAGAGGGUGAGAAUCCCGUAUUUGACCAUUAUUUCCAGCUUUGUGAUACACUUUCAAAGAGUCGGAUUGUUUGGGAAUGCAGUCCAAAAUGGGUGGUAAAUUUCAUCUAAAGCUAAAUAUUGGCGAGAGACCGAUAGCGAACAAGUACCGUGAGGGAAAGAUGAAAAGAACUUUGAAAAGAGAGUUAAACAGUACGUGAAAUUGUCAAAAGGGAAGCGUUUGACACCAGUGUUGUUUUCUCGAAAAUCAAUUAAAAAUGGCGGGAUUUUGUGUUGUAUUGACUUUAUCAGCUUUCUGCACUCUUUUCCUGUCUUUUUUAAUGCACUUUUCGUUUAACAAGUCAACAUCAAUUUCUUUUGUUGUAAAAGGGUCAUUGGAAGGUGGCUUUCUUUUCGGAGAAAGUGUUUAUAGCCUUUGGCCUCUGCAAUCGGAGAGAUUGAGGUCUGCAGCGUAGAUCCUUCGGGGUUAGAUACAUUUGUGCUAAGUUAUAGCCUUUCAUAGACAACUUGUUGACUAUGAUCAGUCAUGUAGCUUACUCGCUUAUGCUAUUUUACCUACGCUUAGGAUGUUGAGUCAUCACACAUCUCU